CAAGGGUUAGUUUAUUAAAAUAUUGAUUUUGGGAAUCAUUGAUGGAAUUAUUUUUCUACUCUUGA
rnacentral:tRNA from 1 species